GACUGGACAGGCCUUUUGGAUACGCUUGUCCAAGGCCCAAGACAUAAAGUCUCCUGAAAGCUGUGUAGUAAUCAUUCCAUUGCUGACCCAUAGGAUGGUAAUCACAUACAUGAUUGGCUUCAUCUAGAAUCAUGGAUACCUUUCAUACCUUCUCAUCACAAGUUGGAACUAGUGGUCAACAUUGGGACAAUGCAGCCAUAAAUAACAUGGACCAAUAUUUUCAUGGAGUGAGCAAGACCUGCCAGCAGAGCUCACUGGAGCAGGGAGACAUGCCGUCAUCCUUUUGGCACCUGACAAAGUACUUUUUU